rnacentral:rRNA from 1 species
CCGUUGCCGGCGACCGGCGCACGGGUGAGUAACACGUAUGCAACCUGCCCGUGGCAGGGGGAUAAGCGGGGGAAACCCCGUCUAAUACCGCGUAACGCGGCCUUGGGGCAUCCCAAGGCCGCCAAAGGGAGCAAUCCCGGCCACGGAUGGGCGUGCGGCGCAUUAGCUAGUCGGCGGGGUAACGGCCCACCGAGGCGACGAUGCGUAGGGGUUCUGAGAGGAAGGCCCCCCACACUGGUACUGAGACACGGACCAGACUCCUACGGAAGGCAGCAG